AGAAUCAACGCUGGCGGCGUGCCUAACACAUGCAAGUCGAACGAGAAAGGGUAGCAAUACCUGAGUAAAGUGGCGCACGGGUGAGUAACACGUGACUAACCUACCCUGGAGUGGGGGAUAACUGAGGGAAACCUUAGCUAAUACCGCAUAACACCUACGGGUCAAAGGAGCAAUUCGCUUCAGGAGGGGGUCGCGGCAGAUUAGCUAGUUGGCGGGGUAAUGGCCCACCAAGGCAGUGAUCUGUA
rnacentral:rRNA from 1 species